CAGUAGCCGCGGUAACACGAAGGGUGCAAGCGUUACUCGGAAUUACUGGGCGUAAAGCGUGCGUAGGUGGUGGUUUAAGUCCGUUGUGAAAGCCCUGGGCUCAACCUGGGAAUUGCAGUGGAUACUGGGUCACUAGAGUGUGGUAGAGGAUAGUGGAAUUUCCGGUGUAGCAGUGAAAUGCGUAGAGAUCGGAAGGAACAUCUGUGGCGAAGGCGACUAUCUGGGCCAACACUGACACUGAGGCACGAAAGCGUGGGGAGCAAACAGGAUUAGAUACCCCCGUAGUCCCUGUCUCUAUACA
rnacentral:rRNA from 1 species